GGAGGUACGCCCAGUACUGGUGACUGGCCCGGACUUCAAAUCCGGUGUGCGGGGCUAGAACCCUCGCGGGUAGGUUCGAUUCCUAUGUGCCUCCGCCA
rnacentral:tRNA from 1 species